GGAGAGAUGUCCGAGUGGCUGAAGGAGCACGAUUGGAAAUCGUGUGUGGGGGCAACCCCACCGGGGGUUCGAAUCCCCCUCUCUCCGCCA
rnacentral:tRNA from 1 species